AUGAGAGGAAAGGAGGAGCUGACCCCUGCUCUCACCAAGGAGAGCAGCAUCCCAAGUAGAAGGAUGUGUGGCUCUGCCUGGGGCCCCACCCUGCUCUGCUGUGUCACUGUCUCUCUCCUGGCAACAGGUGCAGCAAAUCCCGGGGUCAUCCAGACUCCAAGACACCUAAUCAAAGCACAGGGAGGAAGGUCCAUUCUGAAAUGCAUUCCGAUGUCUGGACAUGACAAUGUGGCCUGGUACCAACAGCCUCUGGGGCAGGAACUGAAGUUCCUCAUUCAGCAUUAUGAAAAAAUGGAGAGAGCGAAAGGAGACAUGCCCAACCGAUUCUCAGUCCAGCAGUUCAGUGACUAUCACUCUGAGAUGAACAUGAGCGCCUUGCAGCUGGAGGACUCUGCUGUGUACUUCUGUGCCAGCUCACCACAGCCUCACAGAGAGACUGGCUUUCUGUCCCUUAAUCUUCCUGCUCCCACUAGUGAUGUACUAUAG